rfam:Exophiala xenobiotica strain CBS 118157 unplaced genomic scaffold supercont1.3, whole genome shotgun sequence.
GGGGAUGUGGUCUAGUGGUAUGACGUGUAAGCAUCGCACCACACAAUUGAACGAAGCACUCAUCUAAUAUGACAACAGUUCCUUAGCAGAAGUUGAAUCCUGAAAGGAUUGCCCACAACAUCUGGAAAAGGUUCUGGGUUCGAUUCCCAGCUUCUCCA